rnacentral:rRNA from 1 species
GAUGAACGCUGGCGGCGUGCCUAAUACAUGCAAGUCGAACGCAUCACUUCGGUGAUGAGUGGCGAACGGGUGAGUAAUACAUAAGUAACCUAGCCUCUGGAGGGGGAUAACUAUUGGAAACGAUAGCUAAGACCGCAUAGGCAUAGGCAUCGCAUGAUGAAUAUGUUAAAUAUCCCACGGGAUAGCGAGAGGCUGGACUUAUGGCGCAUUAGCUGGUUGGUGAGGUAGAGGCUCACCAAGGCGACGAUGCGUAGCCGACCUGAGAGGGUGGACGGCCACACUGGGACUGAGACACGGCCCAGACUCCUACGGGAGGCAGCAGUAGGGAAUUUUCGGCAAUGGGCGAAAGCCUGACCGAGCAACGCCGCGUGAGGGAGGAAGUACUUCGGUAUGUAAACCUCUGUUAUAAAGGAAGAACGGCAUAUGUAGGGAAUGACAUAUGAGUGACGGUACUUUAUGAGGAAGCCCCGGCUAACUUCGUGCCAGCCGCCGCGGUAAAAC